CAGUAGCCACGGUAAUACGGAGGGCGCGAGCGUUACCCGGAUUUACUGGGCGUAAAGGGCGUGUAGGCGGCCUGGGGCGUCCCAUGUGAAAGGCCACGGCUCAACCGUGGAGGAGCGUGGGAUACGCUCAGGCUAGAGGGUGGGAGAGGGUGGUGGAAUUCCCGGAGUAGCGGUGAAAUGCGCAGAUACCGGGAGGAACGCCGAUGGCGAAGGCAGCCACCUGGUCCACUUCUGACGCUGAGGCGCGAAAGCGUGGGGAGCAAACCGGAUUAGAUACCCGCGUAGUCCCUGUCUCUUAUAC
rnacentral:rRNA from 1 species